rnacentral:rRNA from 1 species
UACCUUAAGCAUAUCAAUAAGCGGAGGAAAAGAAACCAACAGGGAUUGCCUCAGUAACGGCGAGUGAAGCGGCAAAAGCUCAAAUUUGAAAUCUGGCUCUUUCAGGGUCCGAGUUGUAAUUUGUAGAAGAUGUUUCGGGUGUGGUCCCAGUCUAAGUUCCCUGGAACUGGACAUCACAGAGGGUGAGAAUCCCGUAUGUGACUGGGUACCUACGUCCAUGUGAAACUCUUUCGACGAGUCGAGUUGUUUGGGAAUGCAGCUCAAAAUGGGUGGUAAAUUUCAUCUAAAGCUAAAUAUUGGCCAGAGACCGAUAGCGCACAAGUAGAGUGAUCGAAAGAUGAAAAGCACUUUGGAAAGAGAGUUAAACAGUACGUGAAAUUGUUGAAAGGGAAGGGCAUGCAAUCAGACUUGCGCCUAGUUGAUCAUCCGGGCUUUUGCCCGGUGCACUCGAUUAGGCUCAGGCCAGCAUCAGUUUAGAGGGUUGGAUAAAGGCCUUGGGAAUGUGGCCCCUCUCGGGGGGUGUUAUAGCCCAAGGUGCAAUGCAGCCACUCUGGACUGAGGACCGCGCUUCGGCUAGGAUGCUGGCGUAAUGGUUGUAUGCCGCCCGUCUUGAAACACGGACCAAGGAGUCUAACAUCUAUGCGAGUAUUUGGGUGUUAAACCCAUAUGCGUAAUGAAAGUGAACGGAGGUGAGAGCCCUUAAGGGUGCAUCAUCGACCGAUCCUGAUGUCUUCGGAUGGAUUUGAGUAAGAGCAUAGCUGUUGGGACCCGAAAGAUGGUGAACUAUGCGUGAAUAGGGUGAAGCCAGAGGAAACUCUGGUGGAGGCUCGCAGCGGUUCUGACGUGCAAAUCGAUCGUCAAAUUUGCGUAUAGGGGCGAAAGACUAAUCGAACCAUCUAGUAGCUGGUUCCUGCCGAAGUUUCCCUCAGGA